rnacentral:pre_miRNA from 1 species
AGUGGAAUAGCUGGGUCAAAUGGUGAGUCCAUUCCAAGUUUUCUGAGGAAUCUCCAUACUGUUUUUCAUAAUGGUUGCACCAAUUUGCAGUUCCACCAGCAAU